rnacentral:lncRNA from 1 species
AUUGGGAACGAGAAUGCUAUUUAUUUCAGAUUGGCUGCAGAUGAGGACCUAAGUGAUUUUACUGACCACCACCCUCCCCUCUGUCAAAAAAAAAAAAAAAAAAAAGUUCCACCAGGUAUAUCUUAUUAGAAAAAAUGAAAAAAGAAACUGAGGAUUGCAGAUGAGAGUGAUUAAUGGCUAUAGUUUGUGAUCUCUGAUAUUAAGUAUUUCUUUAAUAUUAAGGAUAUUAACUUUGAAGUAAGCUAACGCCGGCACAAGGACACUGCAUAAAACCAAGGACCUAUCUUUGUGGAGUAUGCGUCUCAGAUCAAGGCUGAAGGCAGUGGGUCUCACAGAUAAGGGCAAAACCCUUCGUUACUGGCGAUCUCAUGUUUUAUUAAAUGUAUGUCCUGAUCCAGUAAAUAACUCUGGUUUGUAAUGCUUGGCAUGAAGAUGAAACAGCAGUAUUUAGAUCUUUUAAUUCCGAGCUUAACAUUUUCUUGGGUUUGUAGUUACCAAGAACACGUACUUUAAGUUGUAAAGCUCUAUAUGUUAUACCUCAUGAGGACUAUAUUUGUAUAAAAAUGCAAUUUUCACUUUAGAAAACUAGUCUGUGCAGAUGUUAUUUGCAAAGGGAACCGAUUAGCGUUUCCCGCACCUGCUGAUCACUGGAAACACCAAGUGAGGUUUACUAAAGGACAGCCCGAGAAGUUUUAAUUCAAUAACGCUGGAGUGAGGGUCUUAGAAUCUGUGGCGUAAAACUCUUCCCAGGUGAUUCUGAUGAUUCACUAAGUUUGGUAAAUACAGACCAAUUCAAACACUAACUUGAACGUCCCCCUACACAUCCCGCAGCACCUGUGCUCAACACAGAGUGGGCAAUAUUGACAGAAGAAAUGAAAGAAUGAAAAAUGAAAGUUGCCCAUAGAGCUGAGGUCUACCUUAUUUCAAGUCCAUUGAUGUCACUUACCUUUUUCAGAGAUUCAUGAAGCUCAUUCAGGACAUAAAUCAAGAAUUCCUGGGCAUCUUGUUGCGUUUUUUUCAUGAAUGCUGGGUAGAGGUUGCCAAAAGCUGACCGAAAUAUUUCUGGCGAGACGCAUUCUGAGUCUCCAAGCCACAUAUCUGUCAUCACGUAGGCAAACGCAGUGGCAACCUCACUGCAAUCCCUUGGAAGAAGGAAGGAGAAUAUUUCUGGCUGAUUUAAUGAAAGGAAAGCACCUAAAAACUCAAGCAUACGUGGCAUCAGACUGAAAACAAAGCUCUGUUCUUGGUUGAACUUCCGGUCUCUGGGGCUCUGCGGCCUCUACUGACUUGUUUAGCCCUCAUUAGGGACUUCAGAGGGCUCCCUCCCUCACCUCCCCUUGGGGGAGCAGGGGGCUGGGCGGCAGAGAACGCAAAUGGCUUACUUUUGAAGAGCAGUAAUGUACUUUCCCGAGAGAAAGUAUUCCACCAGCGGUGAAAUGCUGCAGAGACACUGGAGAAUGGCGUUCAUGUAACACGUGUUGCCCAAGUUCCGCAGGCCUGUCACUCCCUGGGAAUGGGGCUGGUUCUCCUCCACCUCCUUGACUGGAGAGCUGUCAUAGUGAUCUGUGCACUCUGCGCUGUGUUGGGGCCAUGCAGAGAGAAAUGAGAGCAUUUUGAGGGUAUAAAAUAUGUGAAAGUGACAACAAAUCACUCUCAAGCUCAUGAUACAAAGAAGAGUCCUCAAUGAGACUUCUGUCAAAUACAUUCCCUACCCAGAACAGAAGUACUCAAACUCAAGGUCUAAAAUUGCAUUACUUAUUCUGGAAGUCUGAACAGUGCCUGCAGCCAAAUAAAGGGAGGUAGAAGAUUCUUCCUGAAACCAGAUCAAGAGGACAGAAAUAACGGCCUUUCAGAGACCUAGAAUUGCUUGGCUAAAACUGCACUUUCACUCUGAAUACCAAAGUAUUUUUUUUUUUUUUCCUCUCUGGGCCAAAUAAUUUAAUGAUUUGUAGUAACAAUAAUGGCAAUAGAUAGUAGUUAAUAAAAACAAUAGCUAUCAUGUAUUGAGCCUCGCCAGUUGUUAAUAUGCAUUUUCCCAUUUAAUCCUUUCUAUGGGGUAGGUAUACUUAUUUAAAAAAAAUUUUUUUAAUGUUUAUUUAUUUUUGAGAGAGAGACAGGGCACGAGCAGGGGAGGGGCAGAGCAAGAGGGAGACACAGAAUCUGAAGCAGGCUCCAGGCUCUGAGCUGUCAGCACAGAGCCCGAUGCGGGGCUCAAACUCACCAGCCAUGAGAUCAUGACCUGUGCCGAGGUCAGAUGCUCAACCGAGCCACCCAGGCGCCCCCAGGUGUGCCCUGUUUUUAAAUCCUGUUUUACAGAGGAAAUAUCACAUUUAAGUGGUUUAGUCAUUUGCCUGUGAUAUAAGUAUGUGCAGUGGUAUGUGGAGAGAAGGAAUACAUAUCUACGUACCUACCUACCUGAGUUAUUUGGAUUUAUAUAUCAUAUAUUAAGAGAGUGUGUGUGUACACAUACAUAUAUAUGGCAUAUGUACAUAUUGAGAGCAUAUACACAUACUAAAGAUAUCAACAUUAAGAGCACAUAUAUGUGUGUAUAAUAUGUACGUGUGUGUAUGUAUUCAUAUAAACACACAUAUACACAGAGAGAGAAAGAGCAUAGGCUUUGUAAAGAACAGAUCUUAGUUUAAGUCCUGACUCUGCCAGUUUCUAGUUACACGAUGUGGGACACUUAUAUCUGUGUCUCAUCUAUAAAAUAGGAUCAAUGCUACCAUGUAGGGUUGUUGGGAGGAUUAAAUGAUGUGAGGCACAUGGCACAGAUUGCAUAGUUAAUAAAUGGCAACCUAAAAAUAUUUUUGAACAAGUGACUGAUGUAGGCUGUUCCUAACAGUAAGUAUAUAGAAUUCGAGAAUUCAUGUGCACAGACAGCCCAGCACAGAGGAGAGAACAGGUUCCCAGGGAGUCCUCCUCUCUCCACACAAGCUUCCUUUUGUAAUUUGACUAUUGCUCACGGCAGCCCAGCAUCUUUGUCCUUUAUGAUUUUUCUUCCCGUGUACAGUAUCUAAAAUUGGGUCUCCAUGAGACAGUUACCUCACCUCAGUACCUCCAUUUACAAUUCUGCCAGUUAGAAAAGUGUUCACUAUUACAUGAUGUUCAUUUCAUGUUUAUUGACUGGGGUCAUCGGAGGCCCUGGACGGCCCCUCUUUAGGAAUAUCUAUUGCCUAGAUAUUAAACAACAUCUUCCCUUCCUUUUGUGGGCCCUCCACUGGGUCAAACCUGGGGGAACCCUUCCAAAGGUGGCAUGUAUCCCCGACUCCUUUGACAUGCCCUGCCCCCCAAAUGAACUUAUCGAGAAAGCUAUCGUAGAUAGUGGCUCACAGGACAUAGUAGAUACUGAAGUCAUCUGCAGGACAGGGCCGCUCUGAAGCCAUUUUAGUGCAUCUACGUUGGACUUUCACUUCUAUUCAGGGACUACAUCUAAUCCUUUUAACUUCAUUUCUCUGAGCCUGUUACUUUAGCUCUUUUUGUUUGUAAUAAACAAUUUGUAUGUUUCCCUCCCUUUUCAGUAGAUGCAAACUGAUUUUUAUCUGUACUUCAGGUACAUUCCAACUUAGAUUUUCCAUACAUCAUAAUCAUUUCCAUUCACCCUCAGGAUUCUAGCAUGUUGCCAUGAGAUACUGUUACUCAGCUGCUUAAAAACUUUAAAAACAUUAGAUUUCAGAGAAUGAACUGAACAUAUAAGCUCUAUUCCCCCAUCACUCAGUUUCUCUUUUGUGUGUGUGUGUGUAAUAUAUAUCUUAUAUAUUAUCUCUUGUGCGUGUGUGUGUGUGUAAAUAUAUAAGAUACAUCAUAUAUAUGUAUAAGAUAGAUCUACAUAUAUUAUAUAUAUGUAGAUCUAUCUUAUACACAUACACAGAAGAUGUGUGUGUGUGUGUAAUAUAUAUCUUAUAUAUCUUAUAUAUUACCUCGUGUGUGUGUAUGUAAUAUAUAUCUUAUAUAUAUAUAUAAGAUAGAUCAUAUAUAUAUGAUAGAUCAUAUAUAGAUCUAAGAUAGAUAUAUAUGAUAUAUAUAUGAUCUAAGAUAGAUCAUAUAUAAGAUAUAUAUAUGAUCUAUCUUAUACACAUACACAGAAGAUUUACCUCCAUAUAGUCCAUUAUGGCAACUCUGCCUCCUUUUGGUGCCCAUCCCCAUUCCCAGGGAUCACAUCACUCCUGGAUCCCAAGGGAAUAUCUCUCACCCUGGGAAGGGAGGCAGUUGGACUUUGCUGCUUCUAAAAAUGGAUAGCAUUGGGAUAGACUGGAGUCUUUCUUUUUGUGGUCACCAACUACAGUCCAAAGAGGGUGCAGACAUACAUAUACACCCCACUAAGGCCACCCAGGGCAAAUAUAAAGUGUUCAUCAUAGAAGGAUUUAUAAACAUGGGCAGCAAAGCUCACAAUCUUCUCAACCCAUUGUCUUCAUAGAGAACCAUUCUUAAGAAACCCUUCAGUAGGGGCGCCUGGGUGGCUCAGUCGGUUAAGCGUCCAACUUUGGCUCAGGUCAUGAUCUUGCAGUUUGUGAGUUCAAGCCCCGCGUUGGGCUCUGUGCUGACAGCUCAGAACCUGCAGCCUGUUUCGGAUUCUAUGUCUCCCUCUCUCUCUCUGACCCUCCCCCGUUCAUGCUCUGUCUCUCUCUGUCUCAAAAAUAAAUAAACGUUAAAAAAAAUUAAAAAAAAAGAAAGAAAGAAAGCCUUCAGUAAAGAGGGACCCACCCCCAACUAUGCUCUAUCUGGAUGAAAAGAGGUCAGAGAGUAGGUGCAACCAUGCAACCUGGGUAGGGAAGUGGUCUUGCUAGAAAGGGGACCCUCUGGAGCUCCAAAUUUGGUACCAGUUUGUUCUUUUUCUGAGCUAACUCAGAAUCUGUGAAGAAUGGUGAAGAAAGAGCCUUAGGGCCAAUCCAGUUUGUCUUUUCUCAAUUCUGCAUUAAGUAAAAUGAAUGAAGUAAUAAAAUAACAACUUUUCAAAAAUGUAAAUUUCAGGAAAGAUAAAGAAGGCUAAGAACCAUAACAGAUUAAAAAUAAACUGGAGGGGCUCCUGCGUGGUUCAGUCAGUUAAGUGUCAGACUCUUGCUUUCAGCCCAGGUCAUGAGCUCAUGGUUCAUGGGAUUGAGCCCCGCGUCGGGCUCUGUGCUGACAGCAUGAAGCCUACUUGGGAUUCAUUCUCUCUCCCUCUCUCUCUCCCUCCCUCUCUCUCUCUCUCUCUCUCUCUCUCUGCCCCACCCCCACUCAUGCUGUCUCUCAAGUAAAUAAACAUUAAAAAAAAAAGAAUGAUUGUUCUUCAAUGUCUGUAUAUAUAAGAGAUCUUGGCAAUGAGAGAUGUUGCGUUUUAUGGCUAUUUUAUAUUUGUGGUCUAUUUAAAAGGGGUUCAUGAAGUCACCUGAGUGGUGAUUCCGCAGGACUUGAAUCCUGUCACUCUGCUCCUUUGGUCAGUGUACUUCUCCCAAAUACUUCAGUUUCUCCCCAUCAGUGGAGUCUUGUUAAAAUUUCAUUUUAUGAUUGAUGCUUAUAGGUAAAAACACAACACAUAUUCAUAUGUUGAUAUUAUAUCCAAGGACCUUCCUAAACUCAGUCUAUAAUUUUUAUAUAGGUUCUUUGGAUUUUCUGUAAACAUUCAAGUCAUCUGCCAAAAAUAAGUCUUAAGUUUUCCUUCCCAAUCCUAAUACUUUUUAUUUCCUACCUUGUGAACUAAUUAGCACCUCCAGUAAAAUGCUGAAUAGAAGUGGGGAUAGUAGGCAUCCUUAGCUCACUCCUGAACUAAGAAGGAAAGCUCUGAAUAAUUCACCAUUAUGUAUGAUGUUUGCUAAAGGCAUAGGUUUUUUGGAGAAUUGUCAUCAUGACAGACAUUGAGAGUGAUGAGGUUCUUCUGUAUCUUUUGAGGCAAUCAUGAGAGUUUUCUUCUUGUAGUCUGCUAUGAUGGUCACAUAUUAAACCAAUCUUCUGUUCCUCAGAUAAACUUACCUUGUUAGUGAUGUAGUAUUUUCACAAAUUGCUGGAUUCUAUUUGUUAAUCUUUUGUUCAAGACUUUUGUAUCUAUGCUCAUGAAUAAAAGGAGUUUUAUGUUAGUGUUCUGUGCUGUGUAACAAGUUAUCACAAACUUAGUGGUUUAAAACAACACACAUUUUAUUAUCUUAGUUUCUGGAAGUUGGAGUCCAGACAUGGCUUAGCUGGAAUCACAUGUUGCAUUUUGUUGUCAUGUCUCUUUAGGUCCUUCAUCUUAUAAUAGUUAUUAUGCAUCUCCUUGAUUUUCAAGAACUUGAUACUUUUCAAAAUUUCUGGCUAGUUAUUUUGAAGAAUAUCCCUCAGUUUGAGAUAUUUCCUAAGAUUCAUACUAUGCAUUUCUAAUAUCACAGAAGUAAUGCUGUGCUCUUUUUACUGCAUUGUACUAGGUGCUACGCAUUUUUUAUUUGUCUCAAUACUUGUGAUAUUAGCUGUAAUCACUCACAAAAAGUGAGGUCUGCCAAGUUUCUCUACUGUAGUUACUUUUCCCUUUUGUAAUCAGUAUUUUGUAGAGAGAACUUUGAGACAAUGUAAAUGAUCCAUUCCUUAUCAAACUUUCACAAACUAGUUUUAACAUUAAUUGAUGUUGCUUGGCUAGAUUAAUUAUAACUAUGGUGGUUGCCAAAUGGUCGUUUUCUAAUGCCAUUAUUCCAACUGCAUUCAUCAAUUGCUACCCUGCUCUAAAGAGAAGCUUUUUCUUUUCCCUGUUUAUUCUUUUAACCAGUGUGGACUCAUGAAUUCCUACUUUAUUCGAUGGAUUAUAAUGUUACCAUUAUUUAUUUUUGAUAUACAAAGUGCCUCAAGAUUAGCCAGCAGAGGGCUCUUCAAGAUGUUUUCUGUACCUGUUUGAUGGGUCCCCAUCAUUCUUUGAACACUUCCUUAUUUUUGGCACGUGAGAUCUUCCAGACAUAACCUGCCCCAGUCCUAGAGUUAGUCAUUUCUCGAAGAGCCCUGGUUCCUUUUAGAGAAUAGUAUUUAGAAUAGAGAUGCAGAAGCUAGAUGUACUCAUGCUAUUGCAGUGUCACAACCCUAUCAUCUUCAGUGUUUCCUUAUGUGAUCAACUCCUCUACAUGUAACUCAUCUGUUGCUGCUACCCUCCCAACCACAUACACCACACAUACCUCAUCCUCACCCUGCUUUUCUGACACCUCACACAAGGCCUACCUAAAUUGAUCUCAACUAAUGGCUUCUAAACUAAAUUGUGAAUGGAUAAAAGAAGGAAAAAAAGGGACCUGGCUCUGUUAUUGCCUGCUUCCUUCUUUGAUGGAUUACGUUUUUAAAACUUCCCUUCCCCUCAGACUCUUUUUUUUUCUAAUUGUCGAGAGAUUGCACAUUGUUUUUAUAUUCUUGGAUUGUUUCCUUUAAAUAUUUCAACAAAUACUCAAGGAGCCCUUGUUAUCUUAAUCUAUCUGGGUCUAAAGUUGGAAUAGCAAGGGAUACCAUUAUUAUCCCAACAUACUUUUUUAAAAUGUUUAUUUAUUCUGGGGGAGGGGGAGAGAGAGGGAGAGAAAGAGAAUCCCAAGCAGGCUCCGCGUUGUCAGCUCAGAGCCCAACAUGAGGCUGGAACUCACAAACUGAGAUCACAACUUGAGCCGAAAUCAAGUCAGACACCUAACCAACUGAGCUAUCCUGGUGCCCCUUAACCUAUUUGGUUUUUAAGAUCUGGAUGGCUUGUCAUAACUCUGUGUGAAAUUUUAUUUGGUUCCUUGAGAUCACAUACUGAGUCAGGAUAGCAAGGUUACUCAUGCUUAAAAUUACUUUUUGAUCAAUUAAUAUCUGUAACUUUACCCAACUGGAUGAGAUCUUUAGUGUGCUUAACUACCAUCUUCCCCUGAAUCUUCUUUUAAUAUUUAAAAAUGUUUUAUUCUAGUUUACUUUAAAAUUUUAUAUCAUGUAUAUUUUCCAGCAAGCAUUUGAAUUUGUACAUUUUAUGAACAUUUGCUUUUCUCUAUAUCUUUUAUCUCAUGUCUUCCCAUUUAGAUUUUUUCUUUUUGAUUGAGUAAAUCCUUGAUUAACAUUUUCCAAGAAAGUGGUGAACUUUCUGAGAAUGCCAUCACAUGGCUGGGCUCAAUGUCCUCCCUUUGUCCUAAUAAUAUUGCUUUACUGCCUCUUGGAUACUAUAUGACAGAAGAAAAUUCUUUUGUCAAUCUGAUUUUUUUUCCUUCAUAAACAUUAUUAUAUUAUUAUUAUUAUUAUUAUUAUUAUUAGCUACUUAUUUGUAGAGUUACCAAACUGUGGCCUGAAGUAGGUACUUCUAUUUUUUUCCUUUCUAGGUCUUGCAUUCUGGAACUCCUAUUAAAUAGUUGUAGCUCAUUCAUUAGUCCAGAAAAUAUCUAUUGUGCAUCAGCUCCGUGUCGGUCACUGGGCUAGACGUUUAGUAGUGAAUAAAAUACAAUUCUUUACCUUAAUACAGCUUACAAUAUGUUGAUCAUUUGGAUUUAUUCUGCUUUCAACUCUUCCCACAUAUCUUGCAUUGUUUUAACUUUCUUACACUGUUACGAUUGAGCACUUGUAAAGUUACUUUAUUUGAAUUACCUUGAUGUUUUAGCUUUACAUUUGUGCUCACGGCUACUUUUUACAUCCUUUGCUCUAAUUUCAUUCUUAAACUGAAUCCUAAAAGUGCCUUCAAGAGAUGAAAAUGGAGCAUACUUAAGCACUUUGGUGCAAAUUAUACACAUCUACAUAUCUCAUAAACAUGUGCUCAUACUUUAACAGAAGAAGCUACAAGAUAAGUUCCUUGUAAAGAAAAAAUCACUCUCAGAAUUUUCUGUAUUCUCUGCCAUGUCCUCCUUUCUUCAUUGGAAUUCCCAAGGUUAAAGAGGCAACAUGAAGAAACCUAUUAUUUGCGUACAUUUAUGUGCUGAGUACUGCACCUUCACAACAAUCUGAGAUCAGUAUUAUCAAAGAGGUUUGCUCAAGUAGCUGGUCACUCAUGGAAUAAGGGACAGAGCAAGAACGAAAGUCCAAGUCUAUCCAGUUCCAUUUUGCAUUGCAUACACAGCAGCUACAGAAUUGGGAGACCCAUAGAUGUAGGACUUACCAGUACCUCAUUUUUAUUGCCAGAUAAUAUUCUAUCAUAUGGAUUUAUCACUAUUUUACUUAUCUGCUCACAUGUUGUACACUUGGGUUAUUUUCAUUUUUUAGCUAUUAUCAAUAAUGCUGAUAUGAACAUUCAUGUAUAAGGUUUUGUGUAGACAUAUUUUCAUUUUCUUGGACAUAUACCCAGGAGUAAAACUGCUGUCAUAUGGUAACUCUAAUUAACCUUUUGAGAAGCUUCCACUGUUUUGUUUGCAAAGUGUCAAUACUACUUAAAUCCCCACCAACAAUAUAUGAGCAUUCCAAUUUCUCCACCUGCUCCUUCUCAACACCUGCUGUCAUCUUUUUGAUUCUAGCUAUCCUAGUGGGAGUGAAGUGGCAUUCAUUCCAUUGUAGUUUUGAUUUGAAUUUCCCUGAUGGCUAAUAAAGACUUUUUUCAUGUGUUUAUUGACCACUCCUAUGUCUUUGGAGAAAUGUCUACUCAAUCCUUUGCCCAGUUUUAUUUUUUUAAUUUUUAAAUUUUUAUUUAUUUUUGACACAGAGAGACAGAGCACAAGUGGGGGAGGGGCAGAGAGAGACUGAGACACAGAAUCCGAAGCAGGCUCCAGGCUCCAAGCCGUCAGCACAGAGCCCGACGCGGGCUCGAACCCACAGACUGUGAGAUCAUGACCUGAGCUGAAGUCGGACGCUCAACCGACUGAGCCACCCAGGCGCCCCUCCUUUGCCCAGUUUUAAAUUGGGAUGUCUUUUUAUUAUUGAACUGUAAGUUCUUUAUACAAGUCCUUUAUCAGAUAGAUUACUUGCAAAAAUUUUCUCCCACCGAGUUGUCUUUUCCUUGUUGAUAGUGUACUUUAAAGCACAAAAUUUUUAAUUUUGAUGAAGUUCAAUUUUACUUUUUUUCUUUGGUUGCUUUUGCUAUUGGUGUCAUAUCUAAGAAACAAUGGCUUACUCCAAGGUCACAAAGAUUUACCCCUACAUUUUCUUCUAAGUUUUAUGAUUUGGCACUUACAUUCAAGUUUGUGAUCCAUUUUGAAAUAACUUUUGUAUAUGGUGUGAGGCAGAGGCUCAACUUCAUUCUUUUGCAUGUAGAUAUCUAGUUGUCCCUGCACAGUUUAUUGAAAAUUCUUUCCCCUUUGAGUUGUUUUGACACCCUUGUCAAGAAUCAAUUUACCAUAUAUUAUUGAUUUAUAUGUUGUAACACAUGGUCUUGAUUACUGUAGCUCUCUAUGGGGAAGAGUAUUUUAAUAGCCUUUUUAGGUAAUUGUGGAUUCUUAUUUAAGACGACACUAAAAUUGGACAAGGGGUAGUUUCCUAAAGGUCAACUGCAGUAUAGAAUCUGAAAUCUUAUAAACUUUUCAUACUCUGUUGGAUCUUUAGAUCAUCUGGAAAAUAUCUGUUGUGAAGAUUUCCAAAUAUGGACAUAUUUCAUUACACACUAUCAAAAGUAACCAUUGUUAAGUCGACACUGAUUUCAUUAGGAAAGUAUUGGGAAGCUGUCAUGUUACUGGUGUUAAUAGGCAAGUUUUACCCAAAUUCCAAUUUUCUCUUGAAAACUCAAAUUUUCGCAUUAACAAGUACUAUUAUUCUUUGGCCAAAUCCUCAAGUCUAAAUACCCCUGGUUUGCCUGCCAGUCACUCUUUCAAAGUAGAAAUGAUGCGCAGUGAAAAAGUACCUAGUUCAUUUUCACUUAAGUGUUUUUUCUUCAAACCACCAUUGCACUUCAUUCUGUAGCAAAAGUUUUAUGUGUUUCUCAUUUUGCCUACCGAUAUUAAGGACAUGUAUUGAAGGGUCAAGAUUAAGUAAAAAUUAACUUAUGACUUCAGCAAAGACAUUUUAAAUGAAAAAAAAAAUUUUUUUUUUUUUAACUGUGGUAUUAGACUGAAGGACAGGACCACCAUGUACAGUUUGGUGCUACAGCUUCAACUUGUGCUAAGACCCAUCAAUCAUUUUGCCUCAUCAGUAAAACUUUCAACACAGAGAAAAAGGCAAGUAUUAUCUUAGGAUUAUAGAAUAUAUAGUAUUAUUUGACCUUGUGGGGCCCCUGAAAGUGCCCUAUGUACAUUCAGUGCCUGUGGUCCAUUUCCAGAACCACUGACCUCAUCAAUAGAUCCAGGUAAUGACCAUCAAAAAGACAACCAGAACUGUGUGUCCUCAUGGAACUAGACACCACCACCAAGGACUCAUUCUCAUCAAACAUCUAGACUCUGACCAAGCCUUUAACUAACCAUUUAAGGCAUAUUCAAGAGAGAAACACGUAAAAUGGCACCUAAGGGAAAGAAUUAGCAAAAUCUUGAAUGUGGGAAACUUAACAUUUUUUUUAAGAUUUAUUUUUGAGAGGGACAGUGCAAGUGGGGGAGGAGCAGAGAGAAAGGGAGGCAUAGAAUCUGAAGCAGCUCCAGGCUCCCAGCUGUGAGCACAGAGCCCAAGGUGGGGCUCAAGCUCACAAACCGUGAAAUCAUGACCUGAGCUGAAGUUGGAUGCUUAAUGGACUAGAGCCACCCAGGUACUCCUGGAAUACUUUUUAGAACAAAUGAUCAGAUUCUUCAAAAAAUGAAUUGGGAGUGCCUGGGUGGCUCAGUUGGUUGGGCAACCAACUCUUAGUUUCAGCUCACCUGAAACAUGAUCUUGCAGUUCCUGAGCUUCAGCCCCACGGGGCGGGGGGGGGGGGGGGNNNNNUGUGCUGACAGUGUAGGGCCUGCUUUGGGAUUCUCUUUCCUCCCCCCUCUCUGCCCCUCCCCUGCUAGUACACACAAACUCCUUCUCUCCCUCUCAAAAUAAAUAAAUUGAAAAAGAAAUGAAUUGGUCAGUGGUGGUGGGGAGUGGUUGAAGCCUAUGUAUAUCAAGAGACUUUAAAGACAAAUCAAGAUUAAAUUAUUUAUACACUGCAGUUGUAAAGAUAAAUCAAACAACUGCAAUGUAUAAAUAAAUCUUACCUGGGUCCUGACUCAACCAAACCGUAAAAAAAUUUUUUUGGAGAACAUUUUCUGAAAUUGAGAAACUUAAUUUUUGAGGCGUGAAGAUAUCAGUUCUCACACUUUAGAAACAUAUACCAAGACAUUUAUAAUUAAAAUGAAAGAAAAGUUCCAUGGAUGCAGAUUGCACAGAAAUUCCAAGGAAAAGGGGCACCUGGUGGCUCAGUUGGUUGAGCGUCUGACUACGGUUCUAUGAUCUCAUAGCUUGUGAGUUCGAGCCCCACGUCCGGCUCUGUGCUGCCAGCUGAGCCUGCAGCCUGCUUUGGACUGUCUGCCUCUCUCUGCCCUCCCCCACUCACUCGGUCUCUCUCUCUCUAAAAUAAACAUUAAAAAAGUUUUUCAAAAAAAGAAAUCCCAAGGAGGGGGAGAACACCAGGGAACUAAAUGUAGAGUAGGGCAGCACACGAAAGCAAGCAGUUAUUGUGGAGUGUGUAGCUUUUCUGAAUAACCAUGUCCUCUCCUUCCCUGCUCUCUGUUCGUUACCACUAAGGCAGAAUCAUGGACUCCAGUUAGAAAUUCUGCUUUGAGGAAUUUCCAGAGUGCAGAAGGAAAAUAUAUUCCAGAGGUUCAAAACCAUAGCUUGGGAUUUUCCCUAAAAGGCUCACAGAUUGUCUAAUACUAGAAAUAUUCUGUGGUACACAUACUUAUUGAGCACCUAUAUUCUAUACUACAAACUCCAACAAGGCACUAAGGGAAACACAAAAAUAAAUAAGACAGCUCGCAGUUGGUAACACAGACCAAGUUUUGAGAGCCACACAUUGGUUGGGAGGUUUCACUCCAGUACAUAAUUACUGAACAAUUAAUUAAGCGCCAGUUGUGACUGAUCUGAGGAUCCAGGUUCCCCAAAAACAGGUACCUUUGUGAAAUCUAGCUGGGAAACAAUGAGAGCAGAAGGAUCACAAAAAUGCCCACACAUGGAUUCAUCCUUUUCUGCAAAUAAUUACUUGAUCUCUUGAGUGAUAAAUGACUACUGGGUACACUUGCUUUGAUUGUCUGCUUAAACACAUAAGACUAUAUAUAUCACUGUGAUCUACCUUCCUCAAGAGAAAGUUUGGUAUUGUAGAAAAACAUUUAAAAAUUCAUGUUUUGUUUUUUUUCAGUAUACAUAUCACAAAUUAUGAACUAUGCAAGGUGCUGGGUGAUAUAGUAGUGAAAAAUCCUAAAGGUCCUUUCCUCUGUGAAAUGUACAAUCUAAUGGGGUAUAAAUCUAUGAAACAACAGCCCAAUUUAAGGCUGGGAAACAAGGGUAAUUUUUAUAUUUUUCUUUACAUUUUAAAAUAUUUACCUUACAAUACAAUGAACAUGCAUUACUUUAAAAAUAAUGAAGGCUCAUAGAUCCCCAUAUAGAUGAAGGCAAAUUAUCAGAGAACAUCUAUGUAAGACGUUUUAAGAAGUAAUUUGGGGGACACCUGGGUGGCUCAGUUGGUUAAGCAUCCGACUCCUGACUCUUGAUUUCAGCUCAGGUCAUGAUCACAGUCCUGAGAUCCGGCCUCGUGAUGGACUCCGCUCCCUCUCCGUCUGCCCCUCCCCUGCUCAUGUGCGCUCUCUCUCUCUCAAAAAAAAAAGUAAUUUGGCAAAGAGAUGAGCUCUGUUCUCAGCAGAAUGACACUGAGAAGAAAAUGCUAAAGAGAUUAUGCAAAUGACACUUUCAGACCAGAGUAAUAAUGACAAAAUUCAGUAAUCUAAGGAAAGAUCAUACUUCUUUGGAAUGAGAAAUGUGGUCUUCGGGUAAACUGUUACUUUCCAGAAUUAACAACAAAAAAAAGUUAUCGGAUAGAUUUAGUUCGGAAAAGCAACCAGGAACUGGUACAGAAAUCAAUCAUCACUAUGCUUAAAAGUCAACAUAACACAGGGUUCAAGAGCAUACUCAAAAGCCAGUUUCCCGGGUUUGAAUCCUAGUGCUGCUACAUUCUAAUUAUAAGAAUCUUAGGAAAGUUACUUUAUCUAAUGCUUUUAUUUUCUAAUUGGUAAAACAAGAUAAUAACCUAUAUUUCAUAAGAUUGUUUUAAGGAUUAAAUGAGUGUAAGUACUUUAUAUAUAAAGCAGUUAGAGUAAUGCCUGGCACAUAUUAAGUGCUAAACACUGGUUACUAUUGACAUCUUAUGAAAAUAAUCAACAUAAAAUUAAAUUUCACAAGAUAACCCAUAUCUCCAUUUUCUGACAUAACAAGAAACAGAUUGAAAAGAGAGAGAGAGAGAGAGAGAGAGAGAGAGAGGAGGAAACCAAGACCACAUUAAACAAUACACAGGACAGAAGAUGAAAGGCGUACAAAAUGGUUCAUUUAAAAAAGCUGAUACUCUGUAAUUAAAAAAACACUCUGAAAACAUGGAUAAUUUUUCAGAAUGAUUGAACUCAGUAAACAUCUGUAAACAAGAAUAAAUUUAUUUAAUUUCUUUUAAAGAUUUAAUGAUAUACAAAAUGUAUAUAGUAUAAUAUCUUUAAUACACUUUUUCUUUCUUCCCCUCCCCCCCAUUAAUAUUAAACACUAUUUAAACAGCUCAUCUCUUCUUGCCUUGUCUGUAUCUAUGAGAUACACUACUGAAUACAAGUAAGAUUUACACUGCUUCUUCCUAAAU